rnacentral:rRNA from 1 species
GGACCUGACUGCUAUCGGAUUGAUACUAAGCCAUGCGAGUCAUUGUAGCAAUACAAGGCAUACGGCUCAGUAACGCGUAGUCAACCUAACCUAUGGACGGGAAUAACCUCGGGAAACUGAGAAUAAUGCCCGAUAGAACAUUAUGCCUGGAAUGGUUUAUGUUCCAAAUGAUUUAUCGCCGUAGGAUGGGACUGCGGCCUAUCAGUUUGUUGGUGAGGUAAUGGCCCACCAAGACUAUUACAGGUACGGGCUCUGAGAGGAGUAGCCCGGAGAUGGGUACUGAGACACGGACCCAGGCCCUAUGGGGCGCAGCAGGCGAGAAAACUUUGCAAUGUGCGAAAGCACGACAAGGUUAAUCCGAGUGGUUUCUGCUAAAGGAACCUUUUGUCGGUCCUAGAAACACCGAUGAAUAAGGGGUGGGCAAGUUCUGGUGU